rnacentral:rRNA from 1 species
CGGACGGGUGAGUAACACGUGGAUAACCUACCUAUAAGACUGGGAUAACUUCGGGAAACCGGAGCUAAUACCGGAUAAUAUAUUGAACCGCAUGGUUCAAUAGUGAAAGACGGUUUUGCUGUCACUUAUAGAUGGAUCCGCGUCGCAUUAGCUAGUUGGUAAGGUAACGGCUUACCAAGGCAACGAUGCGUAGCCGACCUGAGAGGGUGAUCGGCCACACUGGAACUGAGACACGGUCCAGACUCCUACGGGAGGCAGCAGCG